GUGAGUGCCUGGGAAUCCCCAAAAAUCCCCCAAAAUCCCCCAAAAAUCCCUCAGGAAUCCCCAAAACCCCUCAGGAACCCCAGGGGUGCAGCUCCAGCUGUUCCAGCCCAGCUCUGCUGCUGCUCCUGCCCGGGAUGAUUCCCCCUAAAAUCCAACCCCAGGGUGGCUUUUCCCUAAAAAUCCAACACCUGAAAGGAUUUUUCCUCACAAAUCCAACCUGGAUUUUUUUCCUAAAAUAAACCCCAGGAUUUUUUCCUAAAAGAAACCCCGGGAUUUUUUCCUAAAAGAGACCCAGGGAUUAUUUCCUAAAAGAAAUCCCAGGAUUUUUUUCCUAAAAGAAACCCCAGGAUUAUUUUUCCUAAAAGAAACCCCAGGAUUAUUUCCUAAAAUAAACCCCAGGAUGAUUUUUCCUAAAAGAAACCCCAGGAUUUUUUCCUAAAAUAAACCCCAGGAUGAUUUUUCCUAAAAAAACCCCGGGAUUAUUUCCUAAAAUAAACCCCAGGAUUAUUUCCUAAAAGAAAUCCCUGGAAUUUUUCCUAAAAGAAACCCCAGGAUGAUUUUUUCCUAAAAUAAAUCCCUGGAUUAUUUCCUAAAAGAAACCCCAGGAUUAUUUCCUAAAAUAAACUCCAGGAUUAUUUCCUAAAAUAAACCCCAGAAUUAUUUCCUAAAAGAAACCCCAGGAUGAUUUUUCCUAAAAUAAACCCCUGGAUUUUUUUCCUAAAAGAAACCCCAGGAUUAUUAUAUUUAUAAUUGGAUUAUUUUCUCCCCCCAAAUCUAACCCCAGGAUGAUUUUUCCAACAUCUUUUUCCCCUAUGAAUUCAGCCCCAGGAUGAUUUUUCCAUACAAAUCCAAGCCAGGAAGAUUUUUUUUUUUCCCUGGAAGGAUUUUUCCCCACAAUCCAACCCCAGGAGAAUUUUUGUCCUCCAAAUCCAAAUCCAGGAUGUUUUUCCCCCACAUGGUUUUUCCUGUAUUUUGGGGGCCAUUCCUGGGCUCUGGAAUGGCCUGGGAGUCUGUCUGUCUGUCCGUCUGUCUGUCUGUCCAGGGACAAUCUGCUGUGCGCCAUCUGGAAGCUGAAGGUGCUGGGGAGUGGAUUUGGGGUGUCAGUCAGUCAGUCUGUCUGUCUGUCCAGAUCUGGGGUGUCACUCAGUCAGUCUGUGUGUCUGUCUGUCUGUCUGUCUGUCCAGAUCUGGGCUGUCAGUCUGUCUGUCUGUCUGUCCGUCCCAGGGAUGGUCUGCUGCGGGUGAAGGUGCUGGGCAGCGGAUCUGGGGUGUCUGUCAGUCUGUCUGUCCAGAUCUGGGCUGUCAGUCUGUCAGUCAGUCAGUCCCUCAGUCUGUCUGUCCAGAUCUGGGGUGUCAGUCAGUCUGUCUGUCUGUCCGUCCCAGGGAUGAUCUGUUGUGGGUGA
rnacentral:lncRNA from 1 species